rnacentral:rRNA from 1 species
CCGCUCUCCCCUAGAUAAGCCGGUGCCUGCCAGACUAGUAGUCGGAUCGGUGACGACCGGCGAAUAACCUGGUGUUGUAUGUC